AUUGAACGCUGGCGGCAGGCCUAACACAUGCAAGUCGAGCGGAUGAAGGGAGCUUGCUCCUGGAUUCAGCGGCGGACGGGUGAGUAAUGCCUAGGAAUCUGCCUGGUAGUGGGGGAUAACGUCCGGAAACGGGCGCUAAUACCGCAUACGUCCUGAGGGAGAAAGUGGGGGAUCUUCAGACCUCACGCUAUCAGAUGAGCCUAGGUCGGAUUAGCUAGUUGGUGGGGUAAAGGCCUACCAAGGCGACGAUCCGUAACUGGUCUGAGAGGAUGAUCAGUCACACUGGAACUGAGACACGGUCCAGACUCCUACGGGAGGCAGCAGUGGGGAAUAUUGGACAAUGGGCGAAAGCCUGAUCCAGCCAUGCCGCGUGUGUGAAGAAGGUCUUCGGAUUGUAAAGCACUUUAAGUUGGGAGGAAGGGCAGUAAGUUAAUACCUUGCUGUUUUGACGUUACCAACAGAAUAAGCACCGGCCAACUUCGUG
rnacentral:rRNA from 1 species